GUAACUCCUGCAAGCUGUAACAAGCAAAUUAAGGGACUGAGGCUUGGAGCAAAUAAAAUGUGGAAAAGAGGAAGCCAUCGAAGCACCAGCAGCCAUUUCCUCCUCCUUUCUGACUAGGUGACAGGGUGACCAGCUGCUUCAUACUUUUGACUUCACACCAUCACGUUGCGCACUAAAACAAAUCCUUCCUUAAGUGACCUUUUGUGAAGCAUACCAUCACAGCAAUAAUAAAACACUAAUCAAGGAAUAGCCUGUUACGGUAACUCAGGCCGUGUGGUCACAGGUCUUUGGGACUGUUUUGUGAAAGGACUAUGGAGGAGUCUGGAGGAGCAGACUACAGAAACCCUAGACAACUAUAAGCAAAGCUGAAUGGACCACUCUUGUCGGAAACUGGAAGAUCAGAAUGCAAAUGGAGGAGGCCGGGAUCCUUCGGUUUCAGAGAGGAAUAAGAACUCCAUUCAAAACAUGCACGUUACAUCCUGCAACCAACAAAACUAAAUACAUCAGUAAAUAAACAAAUAAAUAAAUUCUAGCUACAUUCUGCCUGGAAAUUCUGCACUCUAUCCUGAAAAUCUGAAUGAGGUAUUGAACUAAGUUGUUUGGUGGAGGGAAUUUCAGAACGUAUGUUACUGCAGGCUGUAGCAUGCUUAGUGUUUACUCCUGUUAAUCCGAGCUAUAGAGAAACAGAAUAGGAUAUUCAGUUUGGGGAGAAAAAGUGAGUGAGGAAUGUUUAGUUUUAGACCAGGCUGCUGUGAAGAAUGAAGCUGUAACUGUUAAAUGGAUUAGCACCAGUAAACAGAAACCUCUCCUUCUCUAUUGGAACAAUAGGAAAGAUGUCCUGAAGGCAAGAACCCAUCCUGUAAAUGCUCCAGCUGUGAAGAUGCACAUAUUCCUCAUCUAGGAAUGUUACAGGAUACGUACUGUGAUUGUAAAGAGUCACCAGGGCAAGUAUUUCCCCAGGUUCAAUUGCCAAAGCAAACAGAGGACACUAUAGCAAUGGUAGAAAUAGAGGCAGGCUAUAGCUCAGGUUGGUAGCAGAACUUGGCAGCAUCACCACAUGGCUCUGCAGACAUGCAGAAUCCAAGGGUACGGGUCAUAGAGGCUUCAAACAGGUUCUAGAAGGGCCAGCUUCUUUGCAAUGAGGUCCAGAGAGGGCAUUAUAUGGAGCUGUGAAGGUAAAGUUGGAUUUGCCACGGCUACUCCAGGGUGCUGAAGACACCAGACUCAUAGAGCAUCUACUGACGAAAACUGCAGGCACUGAGAGAAACCAACCCAAGAGAGAAGCUAUGGGUGCUACAGGCAGCAGAACUGGAAGGGUGCAGCUAUCUAAGGCCUGUGGAACAUAGCUGAGACCAUCUGAAGACCCAGGGGCUGAACAUAAAGAGUCUGCAUUUGGUGUUUGCCUUGC